GAUGAACGCUGGCGGCGUGCCUAAUACAUGCAAGUCGAGCGAACAGACGAGGAGCUUGCUCCUCUGACGUUAGCGGCGGACGGGUGAGUAACACGUGGAUAACCUACCUAUAAGACUGGGAUAACUUCGGGAAACCGGAGCUAAUACCGGAUAAUAUAUUGAACCGCAUGGUUCAAUAGUGAAAGACGGUUUUGCUGUCACUUAUAGAUGGAUCCGCGCCGCAUUAGCUAGUUGGUAAGGUAACGGCUUACCAAGGCGACGAUGCGUAGCCGACCUGAGAGGGUGAUCGGCCACACUGGAACUGAGACACGGUCCAGACUCCUACGGGAGGCAGCAGUAGGGAAUCUUUCGCAAAGGGCGAAAGCCUGACGGAGCAACGCCGCGUGAGUGAUGAAGGUCUUCGGAUCGUAAAACUCUGUUAUUAGGGAAGAACAAAUGUGUAAGUAACUAUGCACGUCUUGACGGUACCUAAUCAGAAAGCCACGGCUAACUACGUG
rnacentral:rRNA from 1 species